rnacentral:rRNA from 1 species
CGCUGGCGGCGUGCCUAAUACAUGCAAGUCGAACGGUCUUUUCUAUGGAAGCUUGCUUCCACUGAGAAGAUAGUGGCGAACGGGUGAGUAACACGUGGGUAACCUGCCCAUAAGAGGGGGAUAACAUCCGGAAACGGGUGCUAAUACCGCAUAGUUUUCUUGAUCGCAUGAUCGGGAAAGGAAAGACGGCCUUUGUGCUGUCGCUUAUGGAUGGACCCGCGGCGUAUUAGUUAGUUGGUGAGGUAACGGCUCACCAAGACGAUGAUACGUAGCCGACCUGAGAGGGUGAUCGGCCACAUUGGGACUGAGACACGGCCCAAACUCCUACGGGAGGCAGCAGUAGGGAAUCUUCCGCAAUGGACGAAAGUCUGACGGAGCAACGCCGCGUGAGUGAAGAAGGUUUUUCCGGAUCGUAAAACUCUGUUGUCAGAGAAGAACAAGUUGGAGAGUAACUGCUCCAGCCUUGACGGUAUCUGACCAGAAAGCCACGGCUAACUACGUGCCAGCAGCAGC